rnacentral:lncRNA from 1 species
GGUUCGCACUUAAGUAUCUCUGGUGAGAUGCCCCACGGACAGCUUUACGCAGCACACUAGGAGGUGGGCUUCUUGAAGAUCCAUUACCAUGGCUUACUCGCAGAGUCCUUUCAGACGAUUGGCCCUGAGCUAACAUCUGUUGCCAAUCUUCCUCUUUUUGCUUGAAGAAGAUUGUUGCUGAGCUAACAUCUGUGCCAAUCUUGCUCUGCUUUAGUGGGAAUGCUGCUGCAGUGUGGCCUGAUGAGAGCUGAUAGCUCCCACCUGAGAUCAGAACCUGCAAACCUUGGGUGACCGAAGCAGAGCACAUGAACUUAACCACUGUGCCACAGAGCUGGCCCCAACCAUCUCAGCUUUCAAUUGGACCCUAGGCUGAAUUCCAGGAUCUGAGAACACUCCUGUUUGCAGGCAAUGUUCUCCCCGGAAGGGCCAUAAGAGGAAUGGGCAGAACAUCCUGUUUGCAAGCCAGCUCAGCCGCAACUCAGCUCCAUGAAAUGUCCUGUAUGCAAGCACAUUCAUGUUCUUAGGCCAGAUCUCCUUCAAUGUUAUAUGUCUAUUAUAUCAAAAUUUUAAAUAAACGAAUCCAAGUGUAUACUUUAAAU